GUGCAGUCACCACAGGCUGUGGCUGUAGAGCUUUUUCAGCCCUGAUUUCUCUGAGAGGUUCUGCUGCAGCCAACACAUCCCCCUGCUCGACAUGCCUCUCCCAUUUUCUCCUCUGAGCAUAAUGGCACAGAGCAGAUCCUCAGGCUUACUCACCUGGACGCUGAGCCACCUCUAAGAGCUCAUAAUGUUGUUUUGACUCAGGCAGCAGGUCUGUGAUUUUAGACAGCUGUGCACAACGUUCAUUAAAAAAAGA